GGAUAACUACGGAAAAGCUGUAGCUAAUACUUGCUUUAGCGCUCUUGACUUCGCGUCUUGAGUGUGUACUUGUUAAGCCUUAUAAGAAAAAAGUUAUUAACUUAAGGAAUUAUAACAAAGAAGUAACACGUAAUGGAUUUAUCCAUUUUUAGUGUGUAUCAAUCGAGUUUCUGACCUAUCAGCUUUUGAUGUUAGGGUAUUGGCCUAACAUGGCUAUGACGGGUAACGGGGAAUUAGAGUUCGAUUCCGGAGAGGGAGCCUGAGAAAUAGCUACCACAUCUAAGGAAGGCAGCAGGCGCGUAAAUUACCCAAUUCUAAAGAAGAGAGGUAGUGACAAGAAAUAACAAUACAAGGCCAAUCUGGCUUUGUAAUUGGAAUGAUGGGAAUUUAAAACCUUCCCAAAAUACAAUUGGAGGGCAAGUCUGGUGCCAGCAGCCGCGGUAAUUCCAGCUCCAAUAGCGUAUAUUAAAAUUGUUGCAGUUAAAACGCUCGUAGUUGAAUUUCAAAGAAUCGAUAUUUUAAGUAACGCUUUUAGCUUAAAUCCACAUAACAGACACUUCGUGUCGACUUUGUGCGCAUUUUCGCUAUUAUGUGUUCUUUUAAUUAAAAUGAUUCUUUUUAAAUCUCUAAUAUUUGCUUCUGCAUUUUUGGAGAUUUGUUACUUUGAGUAAAUUAGAGUGUUCAAAGCAAACAUAUAUAGCAUUUGUGCGUUUGAAUACUACAGCAUGGAAUAACAAAAUUGAACAAGUCAAAAUUUUUGUUCUUUUUUCUUAUUUUGGCUUAGUUACGAUUAAUAGGAGUAGCUUGGGGGCAUUUGUAUUCAGAUGUCAGAGGUGAAAUUCUUAGAUUUUCUGGAGACAAACAACUGCGAAAGCAUUUGCCUAAAAUACUUCCAUUAAUCAAGAACGAAAGUUAAGGGAGUGAAGACGAUCAGAUACCGUCGUAAUCUUAACCAUAAACUAUGCCGACUAGGCUUUGGAUGAAAGAUUUUAAAAUAAGAGUUUUCCUUUCCCUUCGGGGUUAGGACUC
rnacentral:rRNA from 1 species